GAUGAACGCUAGCGGCGUGCCUAAUACAUGCAAGUCGAGCGAACAGAUGAGGAGCUUGCUCCUCUGACGUUAGCGGCGGACGGGUGAGUAACACGUGGAUAACCUACCUAUAAGACUGGGAUAACUUCGGGAAACCGGAGCUAAUACCGGAUAAUAUAUUGAACCGCAUGGUUCAAUAGUGAAAGACGGUUUUGCUGUCACUUCUAGAUGGAUCCGCGCCGCAUUAGCUAGUUGGUAAGGUAACGGCUUACCAAGGCAACGAUGCGUAGCCGACCUGAGAGGGUGAUCGGCCACACUGGAACGGGGACACGGUCCAGACUCCUACGGGAGGCAGCAGUAGGGAAUCUUCCGCAAUGGGCGAAAGCCUGACGAAGCAACGCCGCGUGAGUGAUGAAGGUCUUCGGUUCGUAAAACUCUGUUAUUAGGGAAGAACAAAUGUGUAAGUAACUAUGCACGUCUUGACGGUACCUAAUCAGAAAGCCACGGCUAACUACGUG
rnacentral:rRNA from 1 species